rnacentral:antisense_RNA from 1 species
CGUUAUGGCAGGCUAGACAGGGCAGCCUUGUGCUGGCCGUAUGCUUUUGGAACGGUAUUCCUACACCCUGUUUAGUCUGCCACCAUC